GGACUGGUGUAUUUUUCCAUCUCUGAGUGUGGUCAGUCUUAAUAUAGCCUACAGCUUACUUUGUGGAGGUCUGGAUUUUCUCUUUAAGAGCUCCGUCCUAUUUAACCUAGUGCUUCUCAAACAAGCUAGCCAGUAUUCCCACUGCCUGUGCCGUUAAGCUCUGUCUGCUGCUUCCUGUUUCCACUGCAUAAGAAAACAGCAAUGGCCUAAGUUAAAACAGCCAUAGGUCUGUCACUUGUCUGAAUCCUGUGCAGUUUCAUGGAACAUGCCAUCCAUUGCUAAUCAUGGCAUUACGCACUACAUUAAGCAGUGUAACAUUAGUGAUACCAUUAAACAGGUCAAGUGAACCAGGUAGCAACUCUGUUGGAGAUUGUAUGCACCCUUUAUCAAUUUGUGGCUAGUGGGUUUCUGCAUCAUAGAAUUGUAAAAAGGGGGGAAAUGAUUUCCUGGUGAGCAAGGAUAUAUAAUAUUUUUUCACACUUUUACCCUGCUCUUUCUCCAAGGAGCAAAGGGUGGGACACCAUUAGGUUAUCAGCGAGUUUGUCAGUGAGGUGGAAACACACAUGACUUAUCCAAGCCUAUUCAGUGAGCUCCUUGACUGACUGGUCAGGGGUGAAAUAGAGAUGGACAAUCUAUUUACAGCCCAUGCUAAUUUCACAUGCUCAUUCACAAGACUGUUGCAUCCUGUUUUUGUAUUAAUCUGCAUUUUAUUUUAUUUAAAAUCUGCAUUAAAAGUUGCAUUUAAAUACAGUAUAUAUAUAUUUAUGAUAAAAGAUGUGCUUAGAUAAUGCUUCUCUUAGUGUGUGCAUUUUAUCUUAAAAUACACAUUUUUCUUCCUUUUUUUUUAACCCAAGGGCUGAUUGGAUUUUAAAAAAUUAAGACAUUGUCUGAAUCAAGGCACAAUGGCUUACUGCUAUGCCAUCAGUCCUGAGGAAGCAUUUCAUAGGAGUACAGGUUUUAAACACAUUUUAUCCUGUGCUUCUAGCACAAUCCUCUAGCACAGAAGGUGUACUGGGAGUGAUCUUGAGAAAGGUGUACAUUGGUGUGGGCUGAAACCACCUGCCCAAAUAUAUUGAAAGAAUCACUUGUGUCCUUACUGUUUGCCAAAGGGAAUUCAGAGUUGUAAGGUAGGUUUCCUGACACUGGCUUCUCCUGAGAACAACGAUUGACAUAUGUCUAUGCUCAGUCAGUCAGAAUAAAUUAUAGAGUGUUCAGUAUUUGAAAGAGUCAGCUGGGGGAAGUAAGGGUGAGGAAGAGGAAAAUGUGUGAAGGAUCUAGUCAUUUUUACUUUUCUGGAAUCAGCUUUCACCCAGAAGCAAUGAACUCCAGUGACUCAGCCUUGACAGCCAGUAGAAAGCUGAACUCUCUCACAGAAGAAUGCCUGCAUAUUAGUUUUCCAGUAGAUCCUAUGCAGUGAGUAUCCAACUCUGGGUGAAGCCCAACUUGUCAUGAGAUAAUACAUGCAGGGUGGGUUCCAAGCACCCCCUCCCCCUGCCCAAACAAAUAGCACAUUGCAAAGUGUUUUAAAAUGGAUGGAACUUCCAAGGUGGGGAAGGGUCAAAGGGGGGACAAAAAUCCAAAGCGUAUCACUGUGUUCAACAGUCCAGUAAUACUUUAGAUUCCUCCCACAGGCCUGAUAAUAUGCUUGCUGGCUGAGAACUCAACUAACUUGAGUCAACAGUUAUGAGAUUAUUCCCUUGAAUAAUCUACUGUGCCUGUGCUCAAAGAGUUGCGCUGGCUUCUGAAUUGUUAUUGAGCUAUGUUCAAAGUUUUCCUGUCGGUAUAUAAAGCCCUUAAUGGCUUGGGAACAGGUUACUCAGGGGAUCAAUUUGGCCCAUGCAUAGCUAUUUAACCACUUUGUUAUGCAGAACUUUCAUUUGUAUAAGUGCCAUAUGAUGAAGGUUUCACAUUUACAAGGAGCUGAUCUUGUAGUGUGGCAGCACCAAUGCAUAGGCACUCCUGCCUAUUGACAUCAGUCAGGAGCCUUUCUAUAUUGCUUUACACACUUGCUGAAAACUUUAUAUUUCAGCAACUCUACCCAGAUAUCAUUUAGACAUUUAUGUUAGGUUAUAAUGCUUUACUGGCUUUAUCUGUGUUUUAUUAACUAUCAUGUAUACCUACUAUUUUAACAGUUUUGUGGAUUUUAGCAAUGAUUUGUUGAUAAUUAUAUUGUGUACACCACUUAGAGAGUUUUAUAAUUAAACUGUCUAUAAUUUUUUCUAAAAGCCACAAGCAAAGGAAGGGGAAAUGUCUAUGUUGGCUGUUUGAUGUGAAAGAUUCACAGCUUGAAUCCUGGAUAAGAAAUGGCAUUCUCAUAUGGUGAAUCAAUGAUCUCUAUGCAAGAACGGGGGCGGGGGGGGACCUGUUCUCUGCAAUUGACACCAAGGUGGUCAUACUUUGCAUUUUGUACACCAAAUUUGCACAGAGAGCUCAAACUGAGAGGUUUUCUGGAUACUUGCCCCAAAAACUUCCUUUCCUUGGAGUUUUUCACAAAUCUGAUAAAUCUGGAAGAAUUGGAAUAGCUUGUUGCAUGAUGGAAAUGUCAUUUUAAAUAUAUCUUUUUAUAAAAGUAUGUCUAUACUGCCCACUCACAUAAAAUAUCAAAGUGGUGCACAGCAUUAACUAUUUUUAAAAGAAUAAAAAAUAAUGACUGGAUUAAUCGGUUUCUCUAAAAAAAGGAAAUUUAACUGAGUAGGCUCAUUGGUUUAAGAGAGUCUUCAAGAGAUCUCUGGAAGUUGACUGCUGAAUCUCUGUUGGAAGAGAGUUCAUAGCAUGGAACUGGUGACACUAAACCUUUGGCCUGAUAUUAAGCAACUGUUGAAAAGGGGAAGAUGUCUAGUUGGGAUUUACAUUUAGCUGAUGUUUUUCAAGUUAUCAGUUAUAUGUGUGUAUUUUAGAGUAUACUGCUGUCCUGGAACCUAACCAAGAUGGACUAGAAACCCUGGCAUAGGAUGGACCAGAAACAUAAACAUGCAAUACAAUUCAUAGGGUCCAGAGACUUAGGAGAGGAGACUCUAGAUAAUCUGAGAAACAGAAUGGAGGUUAUUAAAUGUCAGACAGGCAAUUUUCUGGGUUCCAAUUUUUACCUUUAAGCUUACAGACACAUGUGCAAUAUUCUGCAGCAAAAUGAUACUUUUAAUACCUUUCCGUGACAUUUUGCUUAUGUAACCUUCAUCCCACCUUCAAUUAAUGCUGUUGUAAAUUACUGCAUACUGAUAGGCUGAUCAUCCUUGAGGGCUAAGAUAUUAUCUGUUUCAUGUCAUUAGAAAAUGAUUCCUUUCCUGUUAAGUGUGACCAUUUCCUGACUUCUCUCCUUUUGAUGAGACUGGAAGCCGAGAGAUCAGACUAGUUGGAGUAGUGUGCUAACUGGGGUGAACGUCUCUCUGCUGCAAUUCUAUGCAUAUCUACCUGGAAACAAGUCCCGCCGAGUUCAGUGAGGAUUACUAUUAGGUAAGCAUAUAGGAUUGCAGUCUAAGAGGCCCAAGUCUUCCUGCUGGUCGCUAAUGAGACUUGAGGGUAAUAGUUGAUGGCAGAGUAGCCUUGCAGCAACUAAGCUGCUUCUGCUUCUAGAUGAGGCAACUCUGUAACCAGCCACCCUGCCAACAAACAUCUCCUUGUCUAUAUCUCUGAUAUUUUAACUGUUGGUUUGCUAAAUUUGCAUUUUAUGCAUCUUGUUAGCAGCCUUGGGCUCCUGUGGGAGGAAAGGUGGAAUAUAAAAAUGAACAAUAAAUGUGCUGCCGCAGACCUUAGAACUAGGAGCUAAUUUUUCCACAUGGGAUUCUGGGAUUGCCCCAGGCUCUGGUGAUAUUUUCUGCUUUGACCAGGUAUGAUUCUCUUUUACUCUGCACCAUUUGGGCUGUGCGUUUGUUGUUGUUGGCAUAUUCUUACCAGCGCCAGAGGCGUGUGUUCGUUUGUCACAGCUGUAGCCUGACAGACAUGCCGGAUGCUCUGCACCAUGUUUAUUUUUACCUGUUGAUGUACAACACCUCUCUGUUGCCAUUCCAGGAUGUUGCUUGCUUGCUUCAAUGCUGGCCUUUGACUCAAAAGGUUAUUUCCUUAUAUCUCCUGUCACUCAUCAGCACUUACAUCCUGUUGUUUCCUCUGCUGAGCAAAUAGACUUUCUCUCCUAAAGAUAAUGAUGUAGAUGAGGGUGUCAGAUUCUAUUAACUAUAGCAAGCAACCACAGAGACACUUCCUUCCAACUAAAGCUGCUGGGGCACAGAGAGGCCCUGAACUCUAGUCCAGCACACAGAGACCACGUGGCUACACCCUGUCAUCGCAAGCUUGCUUUUUAAGUAGUACAGUAUUCCCAUAUUCCACUAACCCAUAAUUCUAAAACAACCUUUGCUGACCUGGUGCCCUGCUGAUGUUUUAGAUUACAACUCCCAUCAGCCCCAGCUACGACAAACUUUGGGAAGCUCCAGGGAGCCCUCCUUCCUGUUUAUACUACAGAGCGUGUAUAAAGUUCCAUUAUCAGACAUUAGUCCAGCCACCAGCUUGUCUCUCCUGGGGUCAGGCGUUCCUUUAAGAGGCUUGGCUGCCAGCUGCUAGGUUUGUUUCUUUGUUUAUUGCUUUUGACACCCACUGCAGUUGAAGCCUCACUUGCCUGUGUGUUGCUUUUCUGCUCUUGACUCCCAAUUUCUGUCCUAACUGCAUCUCUGCACGUGUGUACAUUACUAAAUUAAGUGUCACCUUACGACUAUGGGGAUAGAUCUCCUACUCCCCAGUUCCCUUGAUCAUUAGCAUCCAGCAGCAAGCAUGUAAUUGUAUAACGGUGUCUCUUGUAACAUUUAAUAAUAUUUGCAUUGUUAUCGUCGUCUUCUGCUGGGACUAGGAACUUGUACGUGGCAUAAUUCCUUUCACAGAAAUAAACUG